rnacentral:rRNA from 1 species
UACGUAGGGUGCGAGCGUUGCCCGGAUUUAUUGGGCGUAAAGGGCGCGUAGGCGGCCACGCACGUCCGUUGUGAAAUCGCCCGGCUCAACUGGGCGGGUCGGCGGAGUACGGCGUGGCUGGAGCAAGCUAGGGGGCAAUGGAAUUCCCGGUGUAGUGGUGGAAUGCGUAGAUAUCGGGAGGAACACCAGUGGCGAAGGCGGUUGCCUGGACGCUUGCUGACGCUGAGG